UGCGUAGGCGGCGGAGUAAGUUGGGUGUGAAAUCCCGGGGCUUAACCUCGGAAUGGCAUUCAAUACUGCUUCGCUCGAGUACUGGAGAGGAGGCUGGAAUUUACGGUGUAGCAGUGAAAUGCGUAGAUAUCGUAAGGAAGGCCGGUGGCGAAAGCGAGCCUCUGGACAGUUACUGACGCUGAUGCACGAAGGGCCAGGGAGGCAAACG
rnacentral:rRNA from 1 species